UUCUCUUCUUAUUUUCUUCUUCUUCUCCUCUUCCUUCUCCUUCUCCUCCUCCUCCUUCUUCUUCUUCUUCCUUUUCUUCUCCUUCUUCUUCUCUUCUUGCUUUUUCUCUUUCUUCUUCUACGUAGCUUACUUUCCCCAGCAAAGACAUACUUAGCUAAUUAUCCUCCAAAAUGACAUAAUUAUCCUAGUUAGGGAAAAACAUCAUAACAACCUUGGUUAGCUCAUUAAAAUGACUAAUUUAGCUCCAAAAUGACAUAAUAAGCUCAAAAUGGCAUAAGAACCUUAGUUAGCUCAUGAAUAUUAUAUACUUAGCGUGUUUUCCUCUAAAAUGACAUAAUUAGCCCAUUUAGCUCCAAAAAGACAUACUUAGCUAAUAAUCAUCUAUUAAAUAGUCUAUAAUUAGCUUAGCUAGCUCGAAAAUGCCUUAAUAAUCAUAGUUGGAUCCAAAAUGACAUAUUUUACCCAAGUUAGCUCUAGAAUUGCCUAUACUUAGCUUGGCUUCCACCUAAAUGACAUAAUUAGCUUAGCUACCUCCAAAAUGGACUAUUUAAUAAGAAAUGACCUAUACUUAGCUAAUUAUCCUCCAAAUGACAUAAUAGCUCCAAAAAGGCAUAAUUAGCUAAUUUAGCUCUAAGAAGAGGACAAGAGGAGAAGAAAGAGGAAAAAUGAAAAGAAGGAAGAAGAAGAAGAAGAGAAGAAGAAGAUAAAAAGAAGGAGAAGGAAACGGAGGAGAAGAAGGAGAAGGAGCCCUCCUUCUUAUUCUCUCUUGCUUCCCCUUCUUCUUCUCCUUCUUAUUUUCUUCUACUACUCCUCUUCCUUCUCCUCCUCCUCCUCCUCCUCCUUCUUUUUCUUCUUUUUGUUCUCCUUCUUCUUCUCUUCUUGCUUCUUCUCUAUCUUCUUGUGCGCAGCUUAUUUUCCCCAACAAAGACAUACUUAGCUAAUUAUCCUCCAAAAUGACAUAAUUAUCUUAGUUAGAUAAAAACAUCAUAAGAACCUUGGUUAGCUCAUUAAAAUGACUAAGUUAUCUCCAAAAUGACAUAAUAAGCUCAAAAUGACAUAAGAACCUUGGUUAGGUCAUGAAUAUUAUAUACUUAGCNUCUUUUCCUCUAAAAUGAUAUAAUUAGCCCAUUUAGCUCCAAAAUGUCCUAUUUAAUAAAAAAAGACCAAUACUUACCUAAGUUCUCUUAUAAAUGACAUAAUAAGGCUAUGUAGCUCCAAGAUGACCUAUUCCAACUAACUUAGCUAUUAAAUUGCCUAUAAUUAGCAUAGUUAGCUCCAAAAUGGCUUAAUAAUCAUAGUUGGCUCCAAAAUGACAUAUUUUACCCAAGCUAGAUCUAGAAUGGCCUAUCCUUAGCUUGUCUUCCACCUAAAUGACAAAAUUAGCUUUGUUAGCUCGAAAAUGACCUAUAAAAAAUGAUCUAUACUUACCUAAGUUCUCUUCUAAAUGACAUAAUAAGGCUAUGUAGCUCCAAGAUGACCUAUUCCACCAAACUUAGCUAUUAAAUGGCCUAUAAUUAGCUUAUCUAGCUCCAAAAUUCCUUAAUAAUCAUAGUUGGUUUCAAAAUGACAUAUUUUACCAAGUUAGCUCUAGAAUGGACUAUACUUAGGUGAGCUUCCACCUAAAUGACAUAAUUAGCUUAGUUAGCUCCAAAAUGGCCUAUUUAAUAAGAAAUGACCUAUACUAAGAUAAUUAUCCUCCAAAAUGACAUAUUUAGAUCGAAAAAGGCAUAAUUAGCUAAUUUAGCUGGAAGAAGAGGACAAGAGGAGAAGAUAGAGGAAAAAUGAAAAGAAGGAAGAAGAAGAAGAGAAGAAGAAGGAGAAGGAGAAGAAGGAGAAGAAGGAGCCCUCCUUCUUCUUCUCUCCUCCUUCUUCUCCUUCCUCUUCUCCUUCUUAUUCUCUUCUUCUUUUCUUCUUCUUCUCCUCUUCCUUCUCCUUCUCCUCCUCCUCCUCCUCCUUCUUCUUCUUUUUCUUCUCCUUCUUCUUCCCUUCUUGGUUCUUCUCUUUCUUCUUCUACGUAGCUUAUUUUCCCCAACAAAGACAUACUUAGCUAAUUAUCCUUCAAAAUGACAUAAUUAGCUUAUUUAGGUAAAAACAUCAUAAGAACCUUGGUUAGCUCAUUAAAAUGACUAAUUUAGCUCCAAACUGACGUAAUAAGCUCAAAAUGGCAUAAGAACCGUGGUUAGCUCAUGAAAAUUAUGUACUUAGCUUGUAUUCCUCUAAAAUGACAUAAUUAUUGCAUUUAGCUCCAAAAACACAUACUUAGGUAAUAAUCAGUUAUUAAAUAGCCUAUAAUUAGCUUAGCUAUCUCCAAAAUGCCUUAAUAAUCAUAGUUGGCUCCAAAAUGACAUAUUUUACCCAAGUUAGCUCUAGAAUGGCCUAUACUUUGCUUGGCUUCCACCUAAAUGACAUAAUUAGCAUAGUUAGCUCGAAAAUGGCCUAUUUAAUAAGAAAUGACCUAUACUUAGCUACUUAUCCUCCAAAAUAACAUAAUUAGCUUCAAAAAGGCAUUAUUAGCUAAUUUAGCUCGAAGAAGAGGACAAGAGGAGAAGAAAGAGGAAAAAUGAAAAGAAGGAAGAAGAAGAAGAAGAGAAGAGAAGAAGAAGAGAAGAAGAAGGAGAAGGAGAAGGAGGACAAGAAGGAGAAGGAGCCCUCCUUCUUAUUCUCUCCUCCUUCUUCUCCUUCUUAUUUUCUUCUUCUUCUCCUAUUCCUUCUCCUUCUCCUUCUCCUUCUUCUUCUUCUUCUUCUUCUUCUUUUUCUUCUCCUUCUUCUUCUCUUCUUGCUUCUUCUCUUUCUUGUUCUAUGUAGCUUAUUUUCCCCAAGAAAGAUAUACUUAGCUAAUUAUCCUCCAAAAUAAAAUAAUUAGCUUAGUUAGGUACAAACAUCAAAAGAACCUUGGUUAGCUCAUUAAAAUGACUAAUUUAGCUUCAGAAUGACAUAACAGGCUCAAAAUGGCAUAAGAACCUUGGUUAGUUCAUGAAUAUUAUAUACUUAGCUUGUUUUCCUCUAAAAUGACAUAACUAGCCCAUUUAGCUCACAAAUGGCCUAUUUAAUAAAAAAUGACCUAUACUUACCUAAGUUCUCUUCUAAAUGACAUAAUAAGGCUAUGUAGCUCCAAGAUGAUCUAUUAUACCAAACUUAGCUAUUAAAUGACCAAUAAUUAGCUUAGUUAGCUCCAAAAUGGCUUAAUAAUCAUAGUUGGCUCCAAAAUGACAUAUUUUUACCCAAGUUAGCUCUAGAAUGGCCUAUACUUAGUUUGGCUUCCAACUAAAUGACAUAAUUAGCUUAGUUAGCUUCGAAAUGACAUAUUUAAUAAAAAAUGACCUAUACUUACCUAAGUUCUCUUCUAAAUGACAUAAUAAGGCUAUGUAGCUCCAAGAUGAUCUAUUCCACCUAACUUAGCUAUUAAAUGGCCUAUAAUUAGCUUAGCUAGCUCCAAAAUGCCUUAAUAAUCAUAGUUGGCUCCAAAAUGACAUGUUUUAUCCAAAUUAGCUCUAGAAUGGCCUAUACUUAGGUAAGUUAUCUCCGAAAUGACAUAAUAAGGCUAUGUAGCUCCAAGAUGACCUAUUCCACCUAACUUAGCUAUUAAAUGGCCUAUUAUUAGCUUAUCUAGAUCCAAAAUGGUUUAAUAAGCAUAGUUGGCCCCAAAAUGACAUAUUUUUCCCAAAGUAGCUCCAAAAUGACAUAUAGUUAGCUAAGUUCUCCCCUAAAUGACAUAAUAAGGCUAUGUAGCUCCAAGAUGACUUAUUUCCCAAAACUUAGCUAUUAAAUGGCCUAUACUUAGCUAAGUUCUCUCUGAAAUGACCUAUACUUCUCUUCUUCAUCUAGUCUUUUUCUUCUAACUUUCUUAUUUGCCAUUUUGCAUAUUACAUUCACUUCACGGGAACUUGGAUUAUAUUCAUGGAGUGCUUGAAUAUGGUUGAUUCUACCAUGGCUUCAUGGAAGCUUGGAUUGAAACUAUUGUAGUAUAUGGAUAUAUAUGAAACUUUGUAUGCAUGGAUGAAACUAGUGUAAUAUAUGGUUUGCUACGAAUGCAACUUGCAUAAUAUGUAUGUAUUAUGGAUGAAAGUUAUUUUAUUAUGGUUAUGAGUAUGGAAACAAAAUUAUUUCUGUCAAAUAUAUAUAUAUAUAUAUAUAUCCUGAUUAUUGUGAAAAUUAUUCCUGAUUUGUGUGAAAAUUUCUGGAUAUUAUAGAAAAUAAAAUAAAAAGGGUUGUUUUGAGACUUUGCCAUCCGCCCACCGACAGCAAAGGGCUUGCAACAAACGGCAAAGGCUGAAACAUGCCUGGACUGAAACAUGUUGGGGUGCCCCCUUUGUCGUCGGCCUCACUCAUGGCUGACGGCAAAGGGGGAGGGAAGAAAACAAAGGUGCAGGGAGAGAGGGGCUGGGUGCCCCCCUUUGCCCUCGGCCUCAAACAUGGCUGACGGCAUGGGGGGAGGAAAUACGGCAAAGGGGGGUAGGGCAGACGACAAAGCGGGGGUGGGCCGAGCAAGCUGUCGUUAGCACUUAACCAAAGCGCUUGCGGAUCUGCCGUCCCAUUUUGUUUGCCGUCAGCCCCCCCCCCAUGGCAAAGAUUCUUUGACAUCCACCUUCCAAAGGCAGACGGCAAAGAACCUCUUCACCGGAUAAAUCUUUGUCAUCUAGUUUGUCGUCCGCUGACGGACGGGAAAGGCUUUGCCAUCCGGGGUGCCCCCCUUUGCCUUCUGCCAUGGCGGACGGCAAAGUUUCUGAUCCCUGUACUGCACAUGACAUGCAAGACCAUCGUCAUCCAAUAAAAGUCUAAUCAGUCUAGUCACAUGGAUCUAGCAAUUAACCAUGCAGUAACUAAACAUAACACACAUAGCAAUCAAUAGAAAGGUGCAUAUUACCUCACGCGGACCAGCCAACAUGAAAAAAUGAGAAAAGUUUUCUUAGAGAACCUCAUUUAUAAGGAUUUAUCCCAGGGCAAAAGGAUUUGUUGCUAACUAAUGAACAUGUUUAUCUAGAAAGUUAGCACCAUUGUAUGAAGUAUCUAGAAAUUGUGCAGAGAUAAGCUGAUCAAACAAAUUCCUUUAUAACAUAUAAUUACAUGAGCGAACAUAGUUAGCAAUCCCUUGACCUCCCAAUGCAUUUUCUACCGAGGAUCCUUCGUAUUCAAAUAGAAGGAUCGAAUUGUUGAUGGCUAAGUUGCACCUCUCCAUUGGGGACUGCGAGAGGUGAAAUUCGGGAGCUACAAUGACGAACCUAGGCAUGUACUUGCGAGAGGUAAAUUUAAACAAAUUUGCAUUCAGUAUAUAAGCAAGAAAUCAAUGAAAAACUUUUCAAAUAGAAGAGUAAUGGUAGGCUAAUAGGAACUCACUCCUAGAUUUUGUACCAAACAGAAGAUCCAGUAAUGUUGUGGAAUUGUCAACGGUUAUGGCUCCUUCAGUAUGGUCAACCAAGAUUAAAAAAUCAGUUUCCACAUUAGACAAAGAAGUCAAGCACCUUUUGGUACAAAAGGAAACAUGCUACAUUUAAGUUAAUUCAACACAUCCAAAAGUAAGGAAAGGAAGAUACUUACUAAUUCUUGUACAUCUACACAUGAUAGAAGGCCACAACUCUGAAAUAAGUCAACCCGUUUGACCAAUGUUCAAUGCAAAUUAAAAAGUUUCAAGUUGUAACUACUCUCAACAAAUCUGCUAUCAGUCCCUCCAUAUUUACACAUAAAAACACUAAUUAAGGAUGGACACUUUCCAACAUAUUUUAUCCGAACAGCUAGCUGCUAAGCUCUCAACAGUCGAAUAAGUGUUGGAAAAUCAAUGGCCAUAGCGUCCGGCAAAGGAUGACCGCACAUGGGAAGGAUGGAGGGAGGGAAAGGAGAAAAGAUUACCCCAACAUUUGCUCAGCUCUGUCCUCCCAUAUCCACUAGCCUCCUCAAGCACCUCAGGGAUAGAUCCCCUUCUUCCGUUGCUCGCAUGUGACACCACCUAACUCCUCCCUAUGUCUCUCAAUCUCAUCGGUAGCUGGG
rnacentral:lncRNA from 1 species